GAUGAACGCUGGCGGCGUGCCUAAUACAUGCAAGUCGAGCGAACAGACGAGGAGCUUGCUCCUCUGACGUUAGCGGCGGACGGGUGAGUAACACGUGGAUAACCUACCUAUAAGACUGGGAUAACUUCGGGAAACCGGAGCUAAUACCGGAUAAUAUAUUUAACCGCAUGGUUCAAUAGUGAAAGACGGUUUUGCUGUCACUUAUAGAUGGAUCCGCUCCUCAUUAGCUAGUUGGUAAGUUAACGGCUUACCAAGGCAACACUGCGUAGCCGACCUGAAGGGGGGACCGGCACCACUGGAAGUGGGAAAGGGUCCAGAAUCCUACGGGAGGCAGCAGUAGGGAAUCUUCCGAAAUGGGCGAAAGCCUGACGGAGCACCGCCGGGUAAGUGAUGAAGGUCUUCGGAUCGUAAAACUCUGUUAUUGAGGAAGAACAAAUGUGUAAGGAACUGUGCACGUAUUGACGGUAACUAAUCAGAAAGCCACGGCUAACUACGUG
rnacentral:rRNA from 1 species